rnacentral:rRNA from 1 species
CUCCAGACUCCUACGGGAGGCAGCAGUGGGGAAUAUUGCACAAUGGGCGCAAGCCUGAUGCAGCCAUGCCGCGUGUAUGAAGAAGGCCUUCGGGUUGUAAAGUACUUUCAGCGGGGAGGAAGGCGAUAAGGUUAAUAACCUUGUUGAUUGACGUUACCCGCAGAAGAAGCACCGGCUAACUCCGUGCCAGCAGCCGCGGUAAUACGGAGGGUACAAGCGUUAAUCGGAAUUACUGGGCGGAAAGCGCACGCAGGCGGUCUGUCAAGUCGGAUGUGAAAGCCCCGGGCUCAACCUGGGAACUGCAUGCGAAACUGGCAGGCUGGAGUCGUGUAGAGGGGGGUAGAAUUCCAGGUGUAGCGGUGAAAUGCGUAGAGAUCUGGCGGAAUACCGGUUGCGAAGGCGGCCCCCUGGACAAAGACUGACGCUCAGGUGCGAAAGCGUGGGGAGCAAACAGGAUUAGAUACCCGUGUAC